UACGUAGGGCGCAAGCGUUGUCCGGAAUUAUUGGGCGUAAAGAGCUCGUAGGCGGUCUGUUACGUCCGCUGUGAAAACCCAGGGCUUAACCCUGGGCUUGCAGUGGAUACGGGUAGACUAGAGGCAGGUAGGGGAGAAUGGAAUUCCCGGUGUAGCGGUGAAAUGCGCAGAUAUCGGGAGGAACACCGGUGGCGAAGGCGGCUCUCUGGACCACAACUGACGCUGAGGCGCGAAAGCUAGGGGAGCAAACAGG
rnacentral:rRNA from 1 species